GACGAACGCUGGCGGCGUGCCUAAUACAUGCAAGUAGAACGCUGAAGGGAGGAGCUUGCUCUUCUUGGAUGAGUUGCGAACGGGUGAGUAACGCGUAGGUAACCUGCCUUGUAGCGGGGGAUAACUAUUGGAAACGAUAGCUAAUACCGCAUAACAAUGGAUGACCCAUGUCAUUUAUUUGAAAGGGGCAAAUGCUCCACUACAAGAUGGACCUGCGUUGUAUUAGCUAGUAGGUGAGGUAACGGCUCACCUAGGCGACGAUACAUAGCCGACCUGAGAGGGUGAUCGGCCACACUGGGACUGAGACACGGCCCAGACUCCUACGGGAGGCAGCAGUAGGGAAUCUUCGGCAAUGGGGGCAACCCUGACCGAGCAACGCCGCGUGAGUGAAGAAGGUUUUCGGAUCGUAAAGCUCUGUUGUAAGUCAAGGACGAGUGUGAGAGUGGAAAGUUCACACUGUGACGGUAGCUACCA
rnacentral:rRNA from 1 species